AAGGAUGAGAAGCUUCGACUAAGGUUCGAUUCGAGCGCAGCGAGAAAGCGUUGCCGCAGGCAACGACCCGAAGGGCGAAGCGCGCAGCGCUGAGUCAUCCUUCCCCCACCACCA
rnacentral:sRNA from 3 species